UAGGACUAACAAAAUCGAAUAGAGUUCUUUUUGAAUCACUUCGCCCCUUUUUUGUUUUGGUUAUUUUUUAUUAAUUUUCUUAUUUCUAAACUAAAUAUAUAUUAAUAUAUUAUUUCAUUUUGAAAUGGCUUACUUUUGAUUAUUUCAAUUGAAGUUCCAAUAAGAAAGAUACUUAUUAGAAUUAGGUCCGAGGUAACAUGUUAAUUACGAAACAUGGCAG